CCCAAAAACAUCCCCCAAAAAACCAAAAACCCCCCAAAAAAAUCCCCAAAAAAUCCCCAAAAAUCGCCCCCAAAAACCCCAAAAUCCCAAAAAAAUUCCCCCCAAAAAAUUAAAAAAAAAAACCACAAAAAAUCCCCAAAAAAUCCCCAAAAAUCCCCAAAUCCCCCCAAAAUCCCCCAACCCCCCCAGGUUGGGGAGGAUGAAUUUGGGGGGUCCCAACGCCCCCUCCCCCCAUUUUUUACCUGCUGGAUCAGCCCCACCAGCAGCUGCGUGAAGAAAAGCUGCAAGAAAAUUCCGGAAUUUUUAGGGAAUUUUGGGGAAUUUUGGGGAAUUUGGGGGAAUUUUGGGGUUGGUCCCAAUUUUUCCCCAAAAAAAUCUCAUUUUUUUAACCAAAAAAUCCCAAUUUCCCCCCCAAAAAUCCCAAUUUUUUACCAAAAAAUCCCAUUCUCCCCCCAAAAUCCCCCCCAAAAAAUCCCAAUUUCUCAAAAAAAAAUCCCUUUUUUUCCCAAAAAAUCCCAUUUCUGCCCAAAAAAUCCCAUUUUUUCCCCAAAAUCCCCCAAAAUUCUCAAUUUUUCCCCAAAAAAUCCCAAUUUCCCUCCAAAAAAUCCCAUUUUUUCCCCCAAAAAAUCCCAUUUUUCCCCCAAAAUCCCAAUUUUUCCUCAAGAUCCCCCCAAAAUUCUCAAUUCUUCCCCAAAAAAUCCCAUUUUUUUUUCCCAAAAAAUCCCAUUUUUUCCCCCAAAAAUCCCAUUUUUUUUCCAAAAAAUCCCAUUUUUUUUCCAAAAAUUCGCAUUUUUCCCCCAAAAUCCCAAUUUUUCCCCAAGAUCUCCCCAAAAUUCUCAAUUCUUCCCCAAAAAUCCCAAUUUCUCCCCAAAAAAUCCCAAUUUCCCUCCAAAAAAUCCCAUUUUUUCCCCAAAAAAUCCCAUUUUUUUCCCUAUAAAUCCCAAUUUUUCCCCCAAACCCCCCCCAAAAACAUCCCAAUUUUUUCCCCAGACCCCAUUUUUUUCCCAAAAUCCCCAUUUUUUCCCAAAAUCCCCAUUUUUUCCCCCAUUUUUCGGUACCAUCUCGCAGAGGCGCCGCAGCAGGAAUCGCUUCUGCCCAUUUCCCUCCAAAAAACCCAAAAAUCUCCCCAGAAAUCCCAAUUUCCCCCAAAAUCUCCCCAAAAAUCCCAAUUUCCCCCAAAAUCUCCCCCAAAUUCCCAAUUUCUGCCCAAAAUCUCCCCAAAAAUCCCAAUUUCUGCCCAAAAAAUCCCAUUUUUUUUCCAAAAAUUCCCAUUUUUUCCUCAAAAUCCCAUUUUUUCCCCAAAAUCCCAAUUUUUUCCCCAAAAUCCCAAUUUUUCCCCAAGAUCCCCCCAAAAUUCUCAAUUCUUCCCCAAAAAAAUCCCAAUUUCUGCCCAAAAAAAUCCAAUUUCUGCCCAAAAAAACCCAUUUUUUCCCCAAAAUCCCCCCAAAAUUCUCAAUUCUUCCCCAAAAAAUCCCAAUUUCCCUCCAAAAAAUCCCAUUUUUCCCCAAAAAAUCCCAUUUUUUUCCCUAUAAAUCCCAAUUUCUGCUAAAAAAAUCCCAUUUUUUCCCAAAAAAUCCCAAUUUCUCCCCAAAAAAUCCCAUUUUUUCCCCAAAAAAAUCCCAUUUUUCCCAAAAAAUCCCAUUUUUUCCCCAAAAUCUCCCCAAAAUUCUCAAUUCUUCCCAAAAAAAUCCCAAUUUCUCCCCAAAAAAAUCCAAUUUCUGCCCAAAAAAUCCCAUUUUUUCCCCAAAAAAUCCCAUUUUUUUCCCUAUAAAUCCCAAUUUCUCCCCAAAAAAUCCCAAUUUCUGCCCAAAAAAUCCCAUUUUUUCCCCAAAAAAUCCCAUUUUUUUCCCUAUAAAUCCCAAUUUUUCCCCCAAACCCCCCCCAAAAAAAUCCCAAUUUUUUACCCAUACCCCAUUUUUCCCCAAAAUCCCCAUUUUUUCCCAAAAUCCCCAUUUUUUCCCCCAUUUUUCGGUACCAUCUCGCAGAGGCGCCGCAGCAGGAAUCGCUUCCGCAGGCGGGGGGAGCGCGGGAAGUUCAGCUCGUAGCACAGGGUGGGGGCCAGCAGGAAAUAGUACAGGUCUGGGGGGAUUUGGGGGGUUUGGGGGGAUUUGGGGAAAUUUUGGGGGGAUUUGGGGAG
rnacentral:lncRNA from 1 species